rnacentral:sRNA from 1 species
AGUCUAUCUGGAAUUUAUAUUUGAAGAGAUGUGAGGAAGAAAUCUAAGUUAACUAUUUCUCUAUGUAUUUUGAUUUGUCCUAAUACUGGUUAUUGGAUAACACAUCCUGAAAUGCAUUUUAGAAGAUGGAUAAAAUCAAUGCUGAGGACCUAUUCAGAAGGACAGUGAUGCCAGAGCUAGUUAUUCAUUGAACUCAUUCUGUGAGAAAUGUCAGCCAAUCUUUGGACAGCUUUCCUGCCCGCUUUGGAGGAGUCCACUUUGUCAACCAGCCCUGGUACAUUCAUGCCCUCUACACACUCAUCAAGCCAUUUC